CAGUCUUGGGUUAAAUGUCGAAUGGUUGUUUUAUAUAGAAAAUUGCAAAAACUUGACAAACAUUUUCGCGCUGUGAUUGACACGGUCAGUGUUCAUACAUACUUAUGAUUUAUGACCUACCGGGUCGGUACUACCCUAUCCCAGGGUCUAUCUAUAUCUAUAUCAGUAAAUCGUGUAUACUCGUAAAUAUACCACGUUGUUUGUCGACUGAGAUUUACG